rnacentral:tRNA from 1 species
GCCUGGGUGGCUUAGUAGGUUAAGCGUCUGAUUUGGGCUCAGGUCAUGAUCUCACAGUUCAUGAGUUCAAGCCCCACAUCAGGCU